CGGAGGAUCCGAGCGUUAUCCGGAUUUAUUGGGUUUAAAGGGUGCGUAGGCGGCCUAUUAAGUCAGGGGUGAAAGACGGUAGCUUAACUAUCGCAGUGCCUUUGAUACUGAUGGGCUUGAAUGUACUUGAGGUAGGCGGAAUGUGACAAGUAGCGGUGAAAUGCAUAGAUAUGUCACAGAACACCAAUUGCGAAGGCAGCUUACUAAAGUAUGAUUGACGCUGAGGCACGAAAGCGUGGGGAUCAAACAGGAUUAGAUACCCUGGUAGUCCACGCCCUAAACGAUGAACACUCGAUGUUGGCGAUAUACGGUCAGCGUCUAAGCGAAAGCGUUAAGUGUUCAACCUGGGGAGUACGCCCGCAAGGGUG
rnacentral:rRNA from 1 species